rnacentral:lncRNA from 1 species
GCCUCUGUUUCAGUAAAUAAACUUUUGUUGGAACACAGCCAAAGCCUUUUCUUUAUGUUAUAUCUAUAGUGGCUUUCACCAUUCAUUCAGAGUUUGAGUUUGUUGGGUUGAGAGAGUUAUUCUACCUGGUGUCCCCUCCUGCCAUUUUCCCAAAUUUAAGUCCCCACUCACACCUCACUUGUAUGUCCUCUGGGUAGGAAUUCUCAGUACGAUCUGUGACAAGUACUUUAAUAACGGUGUCUGUUAGAGAAAAAAAACUUCAUUGAACUUAACUCAUUUUCCUGGAAAUAAUUUUUAAAUGUAUCAGCCAAGGAAAGAUAAGCAUUGUUUAUAAGCACAAAAAACACUGGACUACACUCAAUUAUCCAACUACAAGGGGAUGAUAAAGUAAAAUAAGAUAUCUAUUUGAUGGAAUAGUCAGCAACUAAUCAAAGACAUCAUUGUUUAUGAUGUAAUGUUAACUGAAAAGGGCAGAAUGUAAAAACUUAUCUUUAAAUUCAGUCAUCAGCAAAUAUUCAAGAAUGAUGUAAGCACUCAACCAGGAACUGCAUAUACAGAGGAAUUCAAAUAAUUAUACCAAGCCAAACAAAAAGUAAAAAGAAAAUGCGUGAGGCAUCAUCCAUAUUGGGUAAGUAGAAGCUGGUACUGACCAAAGAUCCUGCUGCUUCUCAGGCUGCUGAAGUCUAUGCUGUCCCAUGGCUGUGGUCCUGGCCCUGGGCUCCUCUCUUCUACACUGAACCCGAUGAACAGCUUUUGUCAUUGAUUAAAUGCUGCAGCUCGCCUGGAGCCAUUUAUCCAUUUCACCGGCUGUUUAUGGCUUUAUUUACUACAAAGGAAGCAAGGUAAUCCCUGUAAACUCAAUAGAUCUAAAUUAACGUUCAGGAGCCAGCUUAGAAAGAAUUAUUGCUCCCUGACUCAGGGGGCCAGAGAAAAAGAAUGAACACAGGAACCUGUGACAGAGGCUCUGAGUGGUUCUCUGGCAUCCAGGAGGGCUGCUUCACAGAGGACCCUUGCUUGCCUGAGUCUCUAUUAGCCAGGUUUCUCUGCAUAAAGUCCAGAUGGAAGACCUCACCAUGA